rnacentral:rRNA from 1 species
AUUGAACGCUGGCGGCAGGCCUAACACAUGCAAGUCGAGCGGAUGAAGGGAGCUUGCUCCUGGAUUCAGCGGCGGACGGGUGAGUAAUGCCUAGGAAUCUGCCUGGUAGUGGGGGAUAACGUCCGUAAACGGGCGCUAAUACCGCAUACGUCCUGAGGUAGAAAGGGGGGGAUCUUCGGACCUCACGCUAUCAGAUGAGCCUAGGUCGGAUUAGCUAGUUGGUGGGGUAAAGGCCUACCAAGGCGACGAUCCGUAACUGGUCUGAGAGGAUGAUCAGUCACACUGGAACUGAGACACGGUCCAGACUCCUACGGGAGGCAGCAGUGGGGAAUAUUGGACAAUGGGCGAAAGCCUGAUCCGGCCAUGCCGCGUGUGUGAAGAAGGUCUUCGGAUUGUAAAGCACUUUAAGUUGGGAGGAAGGGAAGUAAGUUAAUACCUUGCUGUUUUGACGUUACCAACAGAAUAAGCACCGGCUAACUUCGUG